AUGAACGCUAGCUACAGGCUUAACACAUGCAAGUCGAGGGGCAGCAUGGUCUUAGCUUGCUAAGGCCGAUGGCGACCGGCGCACGGGUGAGUAACACGUAUCCAACCUGCCGUCUACUCUUGGACAGCCUUCUGAAAGGAAGAUUAAUACAAGAUGGCAUCAUGAGUCCGCAUGUUCACAUGAUUAAAGGUAUUCCGGUAGACGAUGGGGAUGCGUUCCAUUAGAUAGUAGGCGGGGUAACGGCCCACCUAGUCUUCGAUGGAUAGGGGUUCUGAGAGGAAGGUCCCCCACAUUGGAACUGAGACACGGUCCAAACUCCUACGGGAGGCAGCAGUGAGGAAUAUUGGUCAAUGGGCGAGAGCCUGAACCAGCCAAGUAGCGUGAAGGAUGACUGCCCUAUGGGUUGUAAACUUCUUUUAUAAAGGAAUAAAGUCGGGUAUGGAUACCCGUUUGCAUGUACUUUAUGAAUAAGGAUCGGCUAACUCCGUGCCAGCAGCCGCGGUAAUACGGAGGAUCCGAGCGUUAUCCGGAUUUAUUGGGUUUAAAGGGAGCGUAGAUGGAUGUUUAAGUCAGUUGUGAAAGUUUGCGGCUCAACCGUAAAAUUGCAGUUGAUACUGGAUAUCUUGAGUGCAGUUGAGGCAGGCGGAAUUCGUGGUGUAGCGGUGAAAUGCUUAGAUAUCACGAAGAACUCCGAUUGCGAAGGCAGCCUGCUAAGCUGCAACUGACAUUGAGGCUCGAAAGUGUGGGUAUCAAACAGGAUUAGAUACCCUGGUAGUCCACACGGUAAACGAUGAAUACUCGCUGUUUGCGAUAUACUGCAAGCGGCCAAGCGAAAGCGUUAAGUAUUCCACCUGGGGAGUACGCCGGCAACGGUGAAACUCAAAGGAAUUGACGGGGGCCCGCACAAGCGGAGGAACAUGUGGUUUAAUUCGAUGAUACGCGAGGAACCUUACCCGGGCUUAAAUUGCAGAUGAAUUACGGUGAAAGCCGUAAGCCGCAAGGCAUCUGUGAAGGUGCUGCAUGGUUGUCGUCAGCUCGUGCCGUGAGGUGUCGGCUUAAGUGCCAUAACGAGCGCAACCCUUGUUGUCAGUUACUAACAGGUUCCGCUGAGGACUCUGACAAGACUGCCAUCGUAAGAUGUGAGGAAGGUGGGGAUGACGUCAAAUCAGCACGGCCCUUACGUCCGGGGCUACACACGUGUUACAAUGGGGGGUACAGAGGGCCGCUACCACGCGAGUGGAUGCCAAUUCCCAAAACCUCUCUCAGUUCGGACUGGAGUCUGCAACCCGACUCCACGAAGCUGGAUUCGCUAGUAAUCGCGCAUCAGCCACGGCGCGGUGAAUACGUUCCCGGGCCUUGUACACACCGCCCGUCAAGCCAUGGGAGCCGGGGGUACCUGAAGUGCGUAACCGCGAGGAGCGCCCUAGGGUAAAACUGGUGACUGGGGCU
rnacentral:rRNA from 1 species